rnacentral:rRNA from 1 species
UACGGGGGGAGCAAGCGUUGUUCGGAUUUACUGGGCGUAAAGGGCGCGUAGGCGGCCUCUGCAAGUCGACUGUGAAAUCUCCGGGCUUAACCCGGAAAGGUCAGCCGAUACUGCAGGGCUAGAGUGCAGAAGGGGCAACUGGGAAUUCUCGGUGUAGCGGUGAAAUGCGUAGAUAUCGAGAGGAACACCUGCGGCGAAGGCGGGUGCUGGGCUGACACUGACGCUGACAGCGCGAAAGCUAGGGGAGCGAACGGG